rnacentral:misc_RNA from 1 species
GAUGGAUAAGUCGAGCUGUCACGAUGUAAUGUGAGUUUGAUCUAGAACCUUUGUUGUCAAUGAAGAAACCAUUUGACUUAAACUGAGUGUUUACUUGCAUUUUGGUCUUGCUAAGUUGGCAUUGGCUUUUUUUGUAUGCCGGCUAGUUAGUAUUCUUCUGUUUUAACUAUUGGGUUGUGUUAUAUGCUACUAUUGUUGGGGUUCUUCCUUACUCCUGCCAAUCUUUGUACAGCAAAG